AGCUGCACUAAAGAGGAAGUGAGGUAACAGUUAGAGAAUAGGAGGAGGAAGUGAUGUUUAGAAAGUUCCUUUUGCCCAUGGCUUCAUAGAGGGAGCAUCACAGUGUACAAAUCCGCUUAAUCCUGUGCCUUAAAGUCCACAAACCGGCUUCAUCCUUUUACAAAAUAAGUGAUAUUUUCCUUAAUUAAAUCCUGCCAAACACAA